GGGAGCGAGCUCCUCUGUGCCCCACAAAGCCCUGCCUGCCUUGGGCUCUCACGCUGUGGGAGGCAGCUCCUCAUCCCUGCAGCACCUGCAAGGCCAGGCUGAGCAGAAGGCACUUGAGUCCCAUUCCCACCCUGCAAGGUGGUUUGUGAUCAUUGGUGAUCCUACCACUGAUGCUGACAUCCUGAUGAGUCUCAGACACCUGGGCUUCACUGCAGCUGAACAGUCCUCACGCCAUACCGACAGGCAGCCAGCAAGUGAAGGUAAAGACUUGCUAUGCUGACUCAGAGGAAAGGUUGAACAAGCCUGGGCUCCUGCCUCUGACGGUGGCCAGAGAAUCUUCAAGAAAGUCAAAGAAGAAAAGAAGCACUUUUCCCUGAUUCAUCCUAUUCACAAAGGCACAUCUCCAGAGUGUGAAAGAGUGGGAGAGCCCAGUUCAUGCCAUUUGCAGGGCAGAGUGUCAGUGAGACCUGUAACUUCUUGGCUGUUCGGGACUGGGGAAGAUCACUUCUGCUGAGACAGUUUAUCUUCUGUCCAGUUUACCCCAGCGUGGAGUGAGACCACCUUCUGAAAGUGAGGGGUGAUCUGGGCUGGUCCCUGUGCAUCCUACCAUCUACUCAUGACCAGCCUUGUCUCAUGCUCCGAUUUCCUCUGGAUGUGGAGCCACGUUCAAUGUCGUUAUAAAUCUGCCAAAGGUGGUGGCAUCAGUACCAGGAUCCUCUGAGGCACAGGUGCCUGGAUUAGGUUGCUGGAUUAUCUAUGUAUAUAAUGCUGAAAAUGCACAAGAGAUGCAGGCAUAAGAGUGACUCCAGGUUGAAAGUCAAAACUCCUUUUCCAUGCACUGCCAACUUUUCUAACUGCACAGCAUUCCUCUGGCCUUUCCAGUUCUCUAAUAUGGAUAUGAAUGCAAAAGGAUAUAAAAUAUGUCUGUCUGUCCAUAUUUAUGUCAAAAGGUUAAAGUUAACAGGAGACUGAACUUCUGGCUUGGAUUUUUUCUUUCACUUCUGGAAAAAAAACUUUUUAAGCUGUUAAUUUCAAAAACAGCACGGUCUGGAAACAAGAGCUUUUCUUCUGUGUCAUUAAACUUGAAGUCUGUUCCCAGAACUGUAUGUCCAAAGGAAAGCAUCCCUAGGCAGGUGUUAUUUGCCAGCUGACUUGGACCUUUGGCACUUCUCAGCUCUGAGCAAGCUUCCUUUGUGUGGAGACAUGCCAGAGACCUGGUGAGCUUGCAAACACCGUUCCCUGCUUCAAAGGAGUUCCAAUACCAAACACACCAGGGCAUCCUGCCAGCUCCAUAAAGCAAACAGGCUACAGUCUGAAGAGGUCAGAAACAACUUAGACACACCUGGAAAUACUCAUGAAGCCCUUGGACCUCAUUAUUAUUGCUCAAGGUGUCCAGCAGCUCUGCAAACAUUCAGAUGGUGUCUGAGCCAGGCAGGUGUGGCUUCAGCAGCUUGUAUACCCAAAUAAAUUCAGCAGGCUGGAAUCACGCAGCUAACGCUCGUCCAUUUCUUCAUUUGUUGUUAUCUAAGUGUCUAUAAUCCUUGUAGGGAGAUACGAUGCUGGCUUUCCCAGGUAUCCACAUGUAGAAAGGACAGGGAUAAAAAUAUCUGUGCUUGUGUUCAAAGACAGUGGGGACAAAGCAGCGUCUGCUGGCAUUAGGCCAGGGGAGAGACAUCCUACUCCACAGGCAGGUGGCCACUGCCUGUGGCACAGCGCUGCUCCUGCCCUUCCAAUCCACACUGCCUGUCGUCAGCAACAGCAUCUUCCAGCCCGAAACACCCAUGUUGACUAAGCUGAUCGUGUGUGGCCACAGGAUGCCUUAAGACAGAGAAUUGCCACUUGCUGAGAAUGCUUAAGAAACUUCCAAAACAUCUCUAAGUGGCCAAAACUUGCGGUGCUCAAAAUCGUUGUCCAAUAUUCUGUAGGCAUAUAUUGCUCUGCAGAUAUUCCCUGUUGUUGAUUUUGCUUCCAGCUGUGCAUCCAAGCCAGGUGCUAUAUUAGUUUCUUUUGCUGUGAGUCACAGCACCACAGCCCUGCGAGAGAUCAUUGCUACAUCCACUGAAAAUGGAGUCUUCAAACCUUUGAAGAAGGAAAAUGGGAAGGUUGUGGAGAGGUGACCCAUCCUGUGCACAGACCUUAAAAAAAAACAGGAACAGGGAAUCUGGGGAAGCAAUGGCUGGGAUGUUCCUCAGCCCCUUCCAGCAGAAAGGUGGAACACGUUUGGGUGCACUGACUCCCUUUAUUUGAAGGAUAAUUAGCUGUUGAGCUUUGAAGUCUUACUUAUGGGGCUAAUGUGUGAUUAGGAUGCCCAGCAGUGGGGCCGAGUGCUGAGAUGUUCCACACUGGAACAUCCACUGUUGUGGAACACAGCACUCUGGGUUUCCAUUGUUGUGCUGCAGCUGAGACCAGCUUUCAGUGGGGAACCAGACCAGCUGCUGCUGCUCUUGCUCUGAGCCCUCCUAAAUGGAAUUUGCUCCCUCACGAGAAACAUUGAUGAGAUUUAAAUCAUUUUGAUGCAAAGCAAUGGUGUUACAGGUACUGUGCCGUUACUGAUUUUGUAGGAUUUAUAUUUCCAGCGUGGCUAACAGGUAGCCAGCGGAAACCUCGCUGUGGAUUGUUUGAUGUUCCUCAGAAGCAGGUGUUCUUCAGUCAGGGUCUCUUGUUCCCUGAUGCCACAAAACACCAUGCCCUUCCCAGUCUUUGUGCCUACUGGUGUUUGCAGGAAAGAAAUUCUUGUUUCAGGCUGAAAUAACUCCUCCCCAGUGGUUUCAGCUGUAUGUUUUCAGUGUAUUGGGAGCAGAAUGUCAGACUGGUAUUGCGUGGGGCAUGGCAGGUGGAUCUGAAGGACCUUUUUUGUAUUAGAGACAAGUGGAGAUCCUGAAGGCCCUAAAUGGCACAGAGAGAAGGUGAUGCUGGGACUAGGCAGAGUGAGAGUCAGGCAAUGCAGUGCCAGCAUGGAUGGGAUAAGAGUGAGCUGGGCAUAAAAGGUCUUAGUUUGGCUAUUGGUCCUCUCAAGUGAGGGUUGACUAUAAAAUCAUGACCCUCAGGCAGUUUGGAACUGGGAUUUCUUGCUUAGAGAUGGUAUAUUCCCUGCCACAGAAACAGCAUUAACUCCUUUAGUGACAGUUUGUAACACGAAU